rnacentral:rRNA from 1 species
GAUCCUGGCUCAGGACGAACGCUGGCGGCGCGCCUAACACAUGCAAGUCGAACGGAGUUUACAGGCAGAAGUUUUCGGAUGGAAGCUUGUAAACUUAGUGGCGGACGGGUGAGUAACACGUGAGCAACCUGCCUAUCAGAGGGGGAUAACGAUUGGAAACGAUCGCUAAUACCGCAUGACAUAGCGGAACCGCAUGGUUCUGUUAUCAAAGAUUUUAUCGCUGAUAGAUGGGCGUCGCGUCCCG